rnacentral:rRNA from 1 species
CCUACGGGUGGCAGCAGUGGGGAAUAUUGGACAAUGGGCGAAACCCUGAUGCAGCGACGCCGCGUGAGUGAAGAAGUAAUUCGUUAUGUAAAGCUCUAUCUGCAGGGAAGAAAAUGACGGUACCUGAGUAAGAAGCCACGGCUAACUACGUGCCAGCAGCCGCGGUAAUCCGUAGGGGGCAAGCGUUAUCCGGAUUUACUGGGUGUAAAGGGAGCGUAGACGGGAGUGCAAGUCUGGAGUGAAAGGCGGGGGCUCAACCUCCGGACUGCUGUGGAAACUGGACGGCUGGAGUGCAGGAGAGGUAAGUGGAAUGCCUAGUGUAGCGGUGAAAUGCGUAGAUAUUAGGAGGAACACCGGUGGCGAAGGCGGCUUACUGGACUGUAACUGACGUUGAGGCUCGAAAGCGUGGGUAGCAAACAGGAUUAGAUACCCGAGUAGUC